UAGGGAAUCUUCGGCAAUGGGGGGAACCCUGACCGAGCAACGCCGCGUGAGUGAAGAAGGUUUUCGGAUCGUAAAGCUCUGUUGUUAAGGAAGAACGAGUGUGAGAAUGGAAAGUUCAUACUGUGACGGUACUUAACCAGAAAGGGACGGCUAACUACGUGCCAGCAGCCGCGGUAAUACGUAGGUCCCGAGCGUUGUCCGGAUUUAUUGGGCGUAAAGCGAGCGCAGGCGGUUAGAUAAGUCUGAAGUUAAAGGCAGUGGCUCAACCAUUGUAGGCUUUGGAAACUGUUUAACUUGAGUGCAGAAGGGGAGAGUGGAAUUCCAUGUGUAGCGGUGAAAUGCGUAGAUAGAUGGAGGAACACCGGUGGCGAAAGCGGCUCUCUGGUCUGUAACUGACGCUGAGGCUCGAAAGCGUGGGGAGCGAACAGG
rnacentral:rRNA from 1 species